UGAUUAAGGGCUGCAGUAAUUUGACUGUACAAAGGUAGCAUAAUCAUUAGUCUUUUAAUUGGAGACUUGUAUGAAAGAUUUGAUGAAAUAUAAACUGUCUCUAAUUUAUUAUUAUUAGAAUUUAAUUUUUUAGUUAAAAAGCUAAAAUAAAUUUAAAAGACGAGAAGACCCUAUAGAGUUUAAUAGUUUUUAAUUUAAAAUAUUUAUAUAAAAUUUUAAUAUUUAAUUUUAUAAAUUAUUUUGUUGGGGUGAUAAAAAAAUAAAAAAAACUUUUUUUUUAAAUUUUCAUAGAUAAGUGAAUAAUUGAUCCAUUUUAAUGAUUAUAAGAAAAAAUUACCUUAGGGAUAACAGCGUAAUAUUUUUUUUUAGUACAAAUAAAAAAAAAAGUUUGCGACCUCGAUGUUGGAUUAAGAUAAAAUUUAAAUGCAAAAGUUUAAAAUUU
rnacentral:rRNA from 1 species